CACACAUGCUAACACACACAUUUUCUCUUUGAGGGGUUGCUCCCUCAGCAACACACAGGCUUCUGUGGACCCAGCAUUGUCUUGGUGGGAGCCAGGCCAGGGCCCCUGGGAGUCCUGGAGGAUGGUAACUGCUGGAGACACAGGGAGACUGGAGGCCAGGACUGGAGCAUGCAUAGGCAGAACAAAUGCUCCAAAAGGAGGCAGUAACCCUCAGGCCAGCUGGGAGACCAGAGGAGACCAAGCAGGUGCACUGCACAUUUGUCAUGGAUGCCUGACCUUGGUUUUCCCAGUUCAACCUCCUAAACAUCACCUGUAAUGUGGAAACAGGUAGUGGCAGAGCCCCUGAUUUUUCGCAGCAGAAGUCAUCUCUUCCUCUACAGUAUGAAAGUUUGUAGUUCUAAG
rnacentral:lncRNA from 1 species